rnacentral:rRNA from 1 species
GGUGAGUAACACGUGGGAACGUACCCUUCGGUUCGGAAUAACUCAGGGAAACUUGAGCUAAUACCGGAUACGUCCGAGAGGAGAAAGAUUUAUCGCCGAAGGAUCGGCCCGCGUCUGAUUAGCUAGUUGGUGAGGUAACGGCUCACCAAGGCGACGAUCAGUAGCUGGUCUGAGAGGAUGAUCAGCCACAUUGGGACUGAGACACGGCCCAAACUCCUACGGGAGGCAGCAGUGGGGAAUAUUGGACAAUGGGCGCAAGCCUGAUCCAGCCAUGCCGCGUGAGUGAUGAAGGCCUUAGGGUUGUAAAGCUCUUUUACCUGGGAAGAUAAUGACGGUACCAGGAGAAUAAGCCCCGGCUAACUUC